rnacentral:rRNA from 1 species
UACGUAGGUGGCAAGCGUUGUCCGGAUUUAUUGGGUUUAAAGGGUGCGUAGGCGGUCUAUUAAGUCAGUGGUGAAAUACUCCAGCUUAACUGGAGGGGUGCCAUUGAUACUGAUGGACUUGAGUGAAGUCGAGGUAGGCGGAAUUGACGGUGUAGCGGUGAAAUGCUUAGAUAUCGUCAAGAACACCAAUAGUGAAGACAGCUUACUAGGCUUAUACUGACGCUGAGGCACGAAAGCGUGGGGAGCGAACAGG